UACGUAGGGGGCAAGCGUUGUCCGGAAUUACUGGGCGUAAAGGGCGCGUAGGCGGCCUGCUAAGUCGAACGUGAAAUCCCUGGGCUUAACCCAGGAACUGCGUCCGAUACUGGCAGGCUUGAAUCCGGGAGAGGGAUGCGGAAUUCCAGGUGUAGCGGUGAAAUGCGUAGAUAUCUGGAGGAACACCGGUGGCGAAGGCGGCAUCCUGGACCGGCAUUGACGCUGAGGCGCGAAAGCCAGGGGAGCAAACGGG
rnacentral:rRNA from 1 species